UACGGAGGGGGCAAGCGUUGUUCGGAAUUACUGGGCGUAAAGGGCGCGUAGGCGGCCGGUUGCGUCGGAUGUGAAAGCCCUGGGCUCAACCCGGGAAUGGCAUUCGAUACGGGCUGGCUUGAAGUCGGAAGAGGAGAGUGGAAUUCCCAGUGUAGAGGUGAAAUUCGUAGAUAUUGGGAAGAACACCGAUGGCGAAGGCAGCUCUCUGGUCCGACCUUGACGCUGAGGCGCGACAGCGUGGGGAGCAAACAGG
rnacentral:ncRNA from 2 species